rnacentral:rRNA from 1 species
UACGGGGGGAGCAAGCGUUGUUCGGAUUUACUGGGCGUAAAGGGCGCGUAGGCGGCCACGACAAGUCACUUGUGAAAUCUCCGGGCUUAACUCGGAACGGUCAAGUGAUACUGUCGGGCUAGAGUACAGAAGGGGCAACUGGAAUUCUCGGUGUAGCGGUGAAAUGCGUAGAGAUCGGAAAGAACACCAACGGCGAAAGCACUCUGCUGGGCCGACACUGACACUGAGAGACGAAAGCUAGGGGAGCGAAUGGG